AUGCUUUAAACAAAACCAAAAAAAAAUUGAAAUCGUCACAUAAACAAACUAAUCGACAAGACGAGGGAUAAAUGACAAGGGAUAUAUCUCUUGUCUUUUAUCCCUCUAUUCCCCACUAUUCACGGAGCCUGAGGUGAAUAAUUGUUAAUUAAAUAGUCUAGAUAGAUAGAUAGCCUAGUCAAGUCUUUAUUAAUACCAAACGACACAAAUCGUCGGGAAUCCAUUUAGGUGGUUCGGCCCACACAGGACAGUAGCCUACAAGACCACACAGAACAAGUCUGACUGGACAUACACACAAUACAUCACAUUAAAACUAGACACGCGUUGAUAGAUAGAUAGACAGAAAGGCCUAGAUAUAUAGAUAUAUUCCAUUAUUUGCCUUGCGGAGCCAACCAGUCCUGUGCACGUAUGCAAAUUAGCCAUGUGCGACAAUGACUAUUUGUUUUGAAUGCAACGAAUGAGUGCAGAUCAUGAUUUGCAGAUCCAGAUCAGUGAAACAUAUUUCAACUACUACAGCACGCAGGGUUUUUUGUUCUCGGUUGUAAUUAGCCUACAUUUUAGGAUUUUUUUUUAUAUUGGGGGGAAUCCCUGUCCUACUUGUUGUCGAAGCACUUUAUCGAACAAGCAAAACCGUCUCGGCAAUAUGGCCAAGGUGUAUGGGAGAGUUCACUAUUUGAUAUGGCUGUCUGUAGGGCCUACUAAACGCAUACGGCUCCUUUUAAAUGCUUCUGCAUAAUUGAAUUGUACGUCAUGAGCGACCAAAGCGAACAGAAAAAUUCGUAGGGAAACUUUGUGAGCGACCAAAGCGUCUUCGCUCCUGGUGUGGACGUACAGUAGGACUCUGUCUGAGGAGAGCUGCUGGAGGAGCUGAGACGCUGGAGGAUGACUAGGAAUCGACCAACAAGGAUUCCUCAACGUGUUCCUGGAGAGGAGGCGAGCUGGUAGGGGAGCCGUGAAUCUGGAGGAUGAACAUCACUCUACAAACAAGGAUUACCACGACUCUGGCUGUGGAGAGCUGAUGGAGGAGCCAAGACUCUGGAGGACGACAUCGCUCCACCAACCAGGAUCCUCAGACAAAUUGCGUUUCUAACCAGACCAGGAAUCUGGAGGAUGGAGAUGGAGAAGCCGUACAUCUGGAAGGAAAAUCCUGAGGAUCACCAGCACUCUACCAUCAAGGAUUCCUCAUAAGUUUGCAUUAUCUGGACAUGGUGGACUAGACGCACCUGAGCUGAACCUCACCUGAUCCUGUUUGGUCGGGGGUAGACACACCUGAACUAAACCCGCCCUGAUCCUGACAUCCUGCUGGUCCCGUCUCCUCAGUUCAUCUGAGCCUUGUCCUCCAGAAGACCUGCUGAGCUCAGCAGUCUGAGGCUGAUGGAUCACUGACCUCCAGUGGGAGUGAUCUUCUUGACCUCACUACUUCACUACUCUCUACUGCUUCCUCUUUUCUUCCUUCUCUCUGGUUCAAAUCUUUACACUGAAGGCGCGUCUUCCUGCCCUCAGAGAGUUUAGCGUUAGGGUUGAGAGUCAGGGUUUAGAGUCAGGGACAGAGCUGGUCAGGGAGGACUGCUUUUACACAAACCUCUUCACUUGCUUUCGGAAUGGUGGUGACAUUUCGAAAAGAUUAACUUGGAAAAUGUUUUCCUCUGCUUUCCUUUAUAAUAUUGUAUUACAUUUCUGUCAAGUGUUUUUGUUUUCAUAUAUUAAAAUCCCACAUUGACUUCUA